AAAUAAUUUUUUUUUUUUUUUAUCAUAGUUGUAAGCGUAAAGUGGAAUUGAUAUUUAAGUAUCGUGUUACUUUUUUUUUAACGUUUUGUAAAAAAUCGUACAUAUGUACAAGUAUGUAUAUAUCUUCAAGGCUCAUUCACACUGUUCAAUGGUUGAGGUCUUGCACGACCAAGGAAGCAUUUCCGUUUGGAGGGAACGAACCUGCUAAUCAUAAAUUCACAUUCCCUUAAGCCUGCUUCUAAGUUAGCAAAUAAUUGUUGGUAUUGUAAAUUGGCCUCCAGUUAGACGAAAACACAACAUCCACUUUUUUAUGAACAUCUGAAAAAGAAUCGGAAACACAUGUCUACACUCCUCACAUAUGUCUAUAGUCUGCAGCAUCACUAUUCAAUACCUUUGACCCAUUCCCUUGUGUAAUAUGAGAAAUGAAUAUCAUUAAGCAAUGGAGAAGUUUUUACCCCGAUAGAACUAAAAGACAAAUUGAAAGGCGAGAGAGGAAUGAAUAUUCUUUAGUUCUCUAGCUGACGACACGCGUUCGUUUAUUAUUUUAAACAUACAUAACUAAAACAAGAACACUAAUCGAAGUCGCUCAGGAACACUUUUCCGCAAUUGGACACCAAAUGAAACGACUCGAUGAAUAAAACAAGCAAGGAUACACAUAAUGAAACACGAAAAAAAUACAAACUAGAAUACCUGGAAACCAGGGGGACUCACUUAUAUAGCAAAGCAGUUGUUCUUUAUAUUUCAAAAUUGAUAACAGUUUUUACCCUAUACCCGGAUUGAACUUAAGCUUAUAACGGAUUGGACUUAUCAAGUGCAUGUUCUUCAGCAGCAGCACAUAACGCACUAUGACUAUAUAAAUAUAAAUAAAUAUUGAAGUCUGAAGCAGUGCACGAUUAUGUGGUGACGAAAGUUAAAUGUUGGUUGAAGUUCAUGAAAUCUGCAAUUUGCUGCGCAAUUGGCUCUCAAAACGAUUGAAUAUUAGAAAUGAAGAGUACUAUUAUAUAUUUUUAUAUUCAAAAUUGGACACCAAAUGAAACGACUCGAUGAAUAAAACAAGCAAGGAUACACAUAAUGAAACACGAAAAAAAUACAAACUAGAAUACCUAGAAACCAGGGGGACUCACUUAUAUGGCAAAGCAGUUGUUCUUUAUAUUUCAAAAUUGAUAACAGUUUUUACCCUAUACCCGGAUUGAACUUAAGCUUAUAACGGAUUGGACUUAUCAAGUGCAUCAGCAGCAUAUAACGCACUAUGACUAUAUAAAUAUAAAUAAAUAUUGAAGUCUAAAGCAGUGCACGAUUAAGUGGUGACCAAAGUUAAAUGUUGGUUGAAGUUCAUGAAAUCUGCAAUUUGCGGCGCAAUUGGCUCUCAAAACGAUUGAAUAUUAGAAAUGAAGAGUACUAUUAUAUAUUUUUAUAUUCAAAAUUGGACACCAAAUGAAACGACUCGAUGAAUAAAACAAGCAAGGAUACACAUAAUGAAACACGAAAAAAAUACAAACUAGAAUACCUAGAAACCAGGGGGACUCACUUAUAUGGCAAAGCAGUUGUUCUUUAUAUUUCAAAAUUGAUAACAGUUUUUACCCUAUACCUAUACCCGGAUUGAACUUAAGCUUAUAACGGAUUGGACUUAUCAAGUGCAUGUUCUUCAGCAGCAGCACAUAACGCACUAUGACUAUAUAAAUAUAAAUAAAUAUUGAAGUCUGAAGCAGUGCACGAUUAAGUGGUGACGAAAGUUAAAUGUUGCUUGAAGUUCAUGAAAUCUGCAAUUUGCGGCGCAAUUGGCUCUCAAAACGAUUGAAUAUUAGAAAUGAAGAGUACUAUUAUAUAUUUUUAUAUUCAAAAUUGGACACCAAAUGAAACGACUCGAUGAAUAAAACAAGCAAGGAUACACAUAAUGAAACACGAAAAAAAUACAAACUAGAAUACCUAGAAACCAGGGGGACUCACUUAUAUGGCAAAGCAGUUGUUCUUUAUAUUUCAAAAUUGAUAACAGUUUUUACCCUAUACCUAUACCCGGAUUGAACUUAAGCUUAUAACGGAUUGGACUUAUCAAGUGCAUGUUCUUCAGCAGCAGCACAUAACGCACUAUGACUAUAUAAAUAUAAAUAAAUAUUGAAGUCUGAAGCAGUGCACGAUUAAGUGGUGACGAAAGUUAAAUGUUGCUUGAAGUUCAUGAAAUCUGCAAUUUGCGGCGCAAUUGGCUCUCAAAACGAUUGAAUAUUAGAAAUGAAGAGUACUAUUAUAUAUUUUUAUAUUCAAAAUUGGACACCAAAUGAAACGACUCGAUGAAUAAAACAAGCAAGGAUACACAUAAUGAAACACGAAAAAAAUACAAACUAGAAUACCUAGAAACCAGGGGGACUCACUUAUAUGGCAAAGCAGUUGUUCUUUAUAUUUCAAAAUUGAUAACAGUUUUUACCCUAUACCCGGAUUGAACUUAAGCUUAUAACGGAUUGGACUUAUCAAGUGCAUCAGCAGCAUAUAACGCACUAUGACUAUAUAAAUAUAAAUAAAUAUUGAAGUCUAAAGCAGUGCACGAUUAAGUGGUGACCAAAGUUAAAUGUUGGUUGAAGUUCAUGAAAUCUGCAAUUUGCGGCGCAAUUGGCUCUCAAAACGAUUGAAUAUUAGAAAUGAAGAGUACUAUUAUAUAUUUUUAUAUUCAAAAUUGGACACCAAAUGAAACGACUCGAUGAAUAAAACAAGCAAGGAUACACAUAAUGAAACACGAAAAAAAUACAAACUAGAAUACCUAGAAACCAGGGGGACUCACUUAUAUGGCAAAGCAGUUGUUCUUUAUAUUUCAAAAUUGAUAACAGUUUUUACCCUAUACCUAUACCCGGAUUGAACUUAAGCUUAUAACGGAUUGGACUUAUCAAGUGCAUGUUCUUCAGCAGCAGCACAUAACGCACUAUGACUAUAUAAAUAUAAAUAAAUAUUGAAGUCUGAAGCAGUGCACGAUUAAGUGGUGACGAAAGUUAAAUGUUGCUUGAAGUUCAUGAAAUCUGCAAUUUGCGGCGCAAUUGGCUCUCAAAACGAUUGAAUAUUAGAAAUGAAGAGUACUAUUAUAUAUUUUUAUAUUCAAAAUUGGACACCAAAUGAAACGACUCGAUGAAUAAAACAAGCAAGGAUACACAUAAUGAAACACGAAAAAAAUACAAACUAGAAUACCUAGAAACCAGGGGGACUCACUUAUAUGGCAAAGCAGUUGUUCUUUAUAUUUCAAAAUUGAUAACAGUUUUUACCCUAUACCUAUACCCGGAUUGAACUUAAGCUUAUAACGGAUUGGACUUAUCAAGUGCAUCAGCAGCAUAUAACGCACUAUGACUAUAUAAAUAUAAAUAAAUAUUGAAGUCUAAAGCAGUGCACGAUUAAGUGGUGACCAAAGUUAAAUGUUGGUUGAAGUUCAUGAAAUCUGCAAUUUGCGGCGCAAUUGGCUCUCAAAACGAUUGAAUAUUAGAAAUGAAGAGUACUAUUAUAUAUUUUUAUAUUCAAAAUUGGACACCAAAUGAAACGACUCGAUGAAUAAAACAAGCAAGGAUACACAUAAUGAAACACGAAAAAAAUACAAACUAGAAUACCUAGAAACCAGGGGGACUCACUUAUAUGGCAAAGCAGUUGUUCUUUAUAUUUCAAAAUUGAUAACAGUUUUUACCCUAUACCCGGAUUGAACUUAAGCUUAUAACGGAUUGGACUUAUCAAGUGCAUCAGCAGCACAUAACGCACUAUGACUAUAUAAAUAUAAAUAAAUAUUGAAGUCUGAAGCAGUGCACGAUUAAGUGGUGACGAAAGUUAAAUGUUGGUUGAAGUUCAUGAAAUCUGCAAUUUGCGGCGCAAUUGGCUCUCAAAACGAUUGAAUAUUAGAAAUGAAGAGUACUAUUAUAUAUUUUUAUAUUCAAAAUUGGACACCAAAUGAAACGACUCGAUGAAUAAAACAAGCAAGGAUACACAUAAUGAAACACGAAAAAAAUACAAACUAGAAUACCUAGAAACCAGGGGGACUCACUUAUAUGGCAAAGCAGUUGUUCUUUAUAUUUCAAAAUUGAUAACAGUUUUUACCCUAUACCCGGAUUGAACUUAAGCUUAUAACGGAUUGGACUUAUCAAGUGCAUCAGCAGCAUAUAACGCACUAUGACUAUAUAAAUAUAAAUAAAUAUUGAAGUCUAAAGCAGUGCACGAUUAAGUGGUGACCAAAGUUAAAUGUUGGUUGAAGUUCAUGAAAUCUGCAAUUUGCUGCGCAAUUGGCUCUCAAAACGAUUGAAUAUUAGAAAUGAAGAGUACUAUUAUAUAUUUUUAUAUUCAAAAUUGAAGGUAAUUAUUUAUUUGGAUGUGAAAAUUUUAAGUAAUGAGUGUG